AGAGUUUGAUCCUGGCUCAGAAUCAACGCUGGCGGCGUGCCUCAGACAUGCAAGUCGAACGCGAAAGUUCCCUUCGGGGAGCGAGUAGAGUGGCGCACGGGUGAGUAACACGUAGGUAAUCUACCUUUGGAUGGGGAAUAACAACCGGAAACGGUUGCUAAUACCGCAUAAUGCAGCGGCACCUAAUGGUGACAGUUGUUAAAGCGGGGGAUCGAAAGACCUCGCGUCUGAAGAGGAGCCUGCGGCAGAUUAGCUAGUUGGUAAGGUAACGGCUUACCAAGGCGAUGAUCUGUAACCGGCCUGAGAGGGCGGUCGGUCACACUGACACUGACAUACGGGUCAGACUCCUACGGGAGGCAGCAGUCGGGAAUUUUGGGCAAUGGGCGAAAGCCUGACCCAGCAACGCCGCGUGAAGGAUGAAAUCCCUCGGGAUGUAAACUUCGCAAGAACAGGAAGAAUAAGUAAGAGUUAAUAUCUCUUAUGAUGACGGUACUGUUUGUAAGCUCCGGCUAACUCCGUGCCAGCAGCCGCGGUAAUUC
rnacentral:rRNA from 1 species